rnacentral:rRNA from 1 species
UUUAAAGUCUAAUCUGCCCUAUGAGUAAUUAAAUGGCCGCGGUACUCUGACCGUGCAAAGGUAGCAUAAUAAUUAGUUUUUUAAUUGAAAGCUGGAAUGAAUGAUUGGACGAGAAAAUUACUGUCUCAAUUUAAUUUUAUUAGAAUUUUAUUUUUAAGUAAGAAAGCUUAAAUUUUGUUAAAAGACGAGAAGACCCUAUAGAGUUUUAUAAUUAUUUUAUUAUUGGUUUUUUAGAAUUAUUUUAUUAAUAAUAAAUUAAUUAUUUUAUUGGGGCGAUAGAGAAAUAUAAUUAACUUUUUUUAAAUUUUAACAUUAAUUUAUGUUUAAAUGAUCCAUUAAUUAUGAUUAAAAGAUUAAGUUACCUUAGGGAUAACAGCGUAAUUUUUUUUUAGAGUUCUUAUCGAAAGAAAAGGUUGCGACCUCGAUGUUGGAUUAAAAUUAAUAUUUGGUGUAGGAGCUAAAUUAUUAGGUCUGUUCGACCUUAA